AAAUUAGGAGAGAUUGGGCCUGCGUAGAUUGCGCUUUUAAGGUGAGCACUGAAUCGAGAGAUCAUAUUUUUGGUGUGAGUGAGAUACAGGAAAGGUAUACCACUAAAUUUUGAUGGAGUGGUGCUCAUUAUUGUAUUUCAUUAGGUUUAUACUUGUAUUGAUCAUUGGUAUAGUAAUAAUGUAUCUGAUUUUUCAGAAAACGAAACAAACAA
rnacentral:misc_RNA from 1 species